GUCACAGUCCAGACGACCAACAGGUUAAACAUUGAGGAGACAGAGAGGAGUCACAGUCCAGACGACCAACAGGUUAAAACAUUGAGGAGACAGAGAGGAGUCACAGACCAGACGACCAACAGGUUAAAACAUUGAGGAGAUAGAGAGGAGUCACAGUCCAGACGACCAACAGGUUAAACAUUGAGGAGACAGAGAGGAGUCACAGUCCAGACGACCAACAGGUUAAAACAUUGAGGAGACAGAGAGGAGUCACAGUCCAGACGACCAACAGGUUAAAACGUUAAGGAGACAGAGAGGAGUCACAGUCCAGACGACCAACAGGUUAAACAUUGAGGAGACAGAGAGGAGUCACAGACCAGACGACCAACAGGUUAAACAUUGAGGAGACAGAGAGGAGUCACAGACCAGACGACCAACAGGUUAAACAUUGAGGAGACAGAGAGGAGUCACAGACCAGACGACCAACAGGUUAAAACAUUGAAGAGACAGAGAGGAGUCACAGUCCAGGCGACCAACAGGUUAAAAAAGAGAGUUAAAAUAAAAAGGUUAUAGUUGUGGUGGGAGCAAUGAGUCUCUCAAUCUCUCUCUUCCCUAUCUGUCUCUCUCUCUCUUUCUUUCUAUCUCUCUCAUCCCUAUCUGUCUCUCUAUCUCUCUCUCAAUCUCUCUCUUCCCUAUCUGUCUCUCUCUCUCUCUCUCUCUUUCUAUCUCUCUCUUUCUCUCUCGCUUUCUUUCUGUCUGUCUCUCUCACUUUCUCUCACCCCCCCUCACUCUCUCUCUCUCAAUUAAAUGUAAUUCAAUUUGCUUUAUUGGCAUGACAUAUCAAUGUACAUUUUGCCACAGCUUACUUUGGAGAUUUGCAAUGUAAACAUAAUUCAAAUAAUAAUAAUCAAUAUU
rnacentral:lncRNA from 1 species